rnacentral:rRNA from 1 species
UACGAAGGGUGCUAGCGUUGCUCGGAAUUACUGGGCGUAAAGCGCACGUAGGCGGCUUGUUAAGUCGGGGGUGAAAUCCUGGAGCUCAACUCCAGAACUGCCUUCGAUACUGGCGAUCUCGAGUUCGGGAGAGGUGAGUGGAACUGCGAGUGUAGAGGUGAAAUUCGUAGAUAUUCGCAAGAACACCAGUGGCGAAGGCGGCUCACUGGCCCGAUACUGACGCUGAGGUGCGAAAGCGUGGGGAGCAAACGGG